rfam:Prauserella sp. Am3 HQ32_scaffold_3.4, whole genome shotgun sequence.
GGAUAACCGCUGAAGGCAUCUAAGCGGGAAGCCUGUUCCUAGAUGAGGUCUCCCACCCGUUGUGGGUUAAGGCCCCCAAGAGAUGAUUGGGUUGAUAGGCCAGACAUGGAAGCGCAGUAAUGUGUGUUGGAGUGGACUGGUACUAAUCGGCCGAGGACUUGCCUAC